rnacentral:tRNA from 1 species
GGAGAGGUGGCCGAGCGGUUGAAGGCGCCGCUCUCGAAAAGCGGUAUCCCCACCGGGGAUCGUGGGUUCGAAUCCCACCCUCUCCGCCA